ensembl:lncRNA
AUGUUUUUAUUGCUUAAAAUGUAUGUUUACAUGGUCCAGUGGUUCGAAAAGGCCAGAAAGCUGUGGGUGGAGGCAGGGUCUUCAAGAAAUGAGGCUAUGAUAAAGCUGGCUGAGGACUUCUUUGAUGCACUGAUGGUUGUUCACGAAAGCUGUAAAGAAGGUGAGUGUUUUGCUCCAGAUUUCCAAAAGUUCAAGUUCAAGAAAAGUCAAAGGGGAGGUUGAGCAGCGCUCUGCAUUCAGUUCAACCUGUGUAUUCCCUCAGGAACAUAUGAGGUCACAGAAGCUCUGCUUAGUCACAUUGGCAAACUGGCCUCUGAUGCACAAAUAAGCAUCGUGAUUCAGAAAGAGGUAAGAGAUUAAAUACAUUUCUUAAAGGAAAGCCUCACCAUCAGUAUGCAUGGAAGUAAUCAUUUCAGCCAUAUUGAGAACUCAUUCCACACCUCCAGUCAUGACAUGUCACUCGAGCUGUGUUUACCCAGACUUUUCCAGAAAUAGAAGACUGAAUUACAUUAUUUACUCUUAUUGACAGGCAGCAAGGAAACUCAAUGCUAUUCUGGAAAAGAUUCCCAUGGAGCUGAAAAAGAAAAAGAAGAUCUUGUCAACUCAAGAGGCUUCAUCUAUGAUGUGUGUUGAAUGAUAGUGCAUUAUCACUCUCCUGUGUCUUAAGAAUGUAACCGUACAUUUAAAAGUCCCCUUCUUGCACCUAUGGAUACAUUUUAAUCUGGAAAGUACCUGUAGGGGUGCGAAUAUGCUUGGAUUUUAAAACUGUAGUGUGUUGUGUUUUUAUCAGGAAUGCAGUGGCCAGUCAAAUCCUCAGAGGUGGAGGUUAGUGUAAAAAUCCAUUGUAAUGAGUAUACGUAGUUUAGAAAGUGUGAUCGUAGAAUUAUACUUAAACACAAAUGUAAAUGAUUAUGAUGAUCAUUCCAAAACUCAUUUUUAGAUUGCACUCAUACUGUGACUGAUUGUAGCUACAUAUCUGUUGUGGGUCAGAUUAUGACUUGCAGGUGUCUUUAAUGGAGGCCCUCUGCAGAAUGGCUUCACCAGCUCAGAGGAAUCAACUAGCUGACUCCUGGUUUACAAUGACCUUUGUCUCCUCUGCAUUCAAGAAGAUCAAGGAUUCUCAGUUUGAGACUGUAAAUAUGGCCUCACUUGGAAUUAGACAUCUUAAAAUGAUUUUUUUUGGUUGCAUCGUAUAUUAGAAUAUGUUUUGUGUGUGUUUUUU